rnacentral:lncRNA from 1 species
GGCGUUGUUGGCGGGGUUCUGGCGUCUCGGAGGCAUCUGUUUAGGGUAGCAUAGAUGAGGAAACAGAUAGAAUAGAACUAAGGAUGUCUAAGCCCCCAAAACAUGAUAUUGACUCAAGCAUAUAUCAAUCAUACACUCAAUCAAUCAUAAAAAGAUUUUGGAAAUUACAGCAAAACACACUUGUUCAUGAUGGGGUACUGC